rnacentral:sRNA from 1 species
AGCCACAUUGGAAAUUGUUGAUAUCCGAUCAUUCCUUUGCUUUUCUUUCUAUCCAUUGUUCUCCGUAUUUACCAUCAAACCAUCAUCCAGCAACAAGAGACAUGAUGAUGAGAACCAUAAUAUAAGGAGACACAGAAUACGCGGGCACAGCACAAGCCCCCGGAUUUCGCCUCCUUCGUGGUCGUUCUAUUUUUUUUAUUUACCAUGAGUGGAACUGAGAUGGUUUGUUCCACCCAUCCCGUAAGAUCCCCUUUUUUCCAGUGAUUAAAGGAUGUACGGGAAGGCAUGUUUCGUCAGAUAAGAAUUGAAAAAAUAAUGUUGUUCUAUGAGCCUGUAAUUCAUUUCCCGCAAAGCGGCGGUGGUUGAGCGACGUAGGUUGAAUGAAGCAGGGAGUCUAGCGCGUUGUGAACGACACAACUUCCACGCAGGAUUCAAAACAAUCACUUGCAAAAACUCAGCUCCUUCCAGCCGUCCCAUAGCCGACCAUGAUAUCGCCCUGCGAUCCGGCCAUCCUAAGCAACAAUCCCCAGUUCAAAGCCCUCCAUCAACAGCUGACAACGGCCAUCUUAAACCCCGAUGGCUCCACGCGCGCCUAUGCCACCGAUCCGUCCCGGAGAGCAGCGCAGGCUGAUCUCAAGAAGUACUUGGGAAGGGCGGUGAAAGCGCGGAUAUUGACAAGGGUGGUUGCGCAGGUUGUGGGGGAUGGGAACGGGGGUUUAGAUGACGAGCUCCGAAACCUUGUUUCCGUCAUCGUUCUCUACCUUCAACACUCCCCCAAUAAUAACAAUAAAGAGAAUGGAAAUAACCAAAUCUCCCCGGACGAGACCUCCGAGCUCCUCUCUCUUCUCUCCCCAGAUCUGAAAAAGUUCCACUCGGCAAUUCCCUCCCUCAUCCCUAGCAUCACCGCCAUCCUCGCCGCGGACCUCACUCAUCUAAAA